CUAAAGGUUUUUUUCAACACCACCACACAAACAAAAACACACAACCU
rfam:Candidatus Phytoplasma australiense complete genome